rnacentral:rRNA from 1 species
CACGUAGGUGACAAGCGUUAUCCGGAAUUACUGGGCGUAAAGCGCACGCAGGCGGCUGCGUAAGUCUGACGUGAAAUCUCCCGGCUUAACCGGGAGCGGUCGUUGGAAACUAUGCGGCUUGAGGCGAUGAGAGGGGUGUGGAAUUCCCGGUGUAGUGGUGGAAUGCGUAGAUAUCGGGAGGAACAUCAGUGGCGAAAGCGGCACCCUGGCAUUAGCCUGACGCUCAGGCACGAAAGCGUGGGGAGCAAAAGGG